GUUGCGCUUCACCUCGACUGUCCACAGCGACGACGGGCGACUCCUCCAAAAUCAGCGACGGUGGACAAUACAAAACUUCAAUUAAAGUAGCUAUGUCUAAUAGUUCAUCGAAGGUGAAGUAUAGAAGCACCAAUGGGAAGUUGGAUUUGAGAUAUAAGAAUCUGUUUUUUCGGAAUUCGGGAAGAUCACACAAAGUCGAUGAGUUUGAUGAAGAUGAAGUGGUUUUGGGGCUGAAUAUCCCCGACUUGGAAGUACCUAAAGCUGAAUACAUUGCGCGGUUGAUCAAACUAUGUAAAGAAACAAAUACAAAGUUGCGUUGCUUUGAAAAAGAAAUGGAUGUCUAUCCUGGUUGUUAUUGUAAUCAUCGGAUGUGUUGUAUUGAUUAAGUAAGUUGAACCGUUAUGCGGAUGAUAUGAUCAAGUUUUUACAUUAUCCUAGGACAUAUGACCGUACGUUUUAUUUCAUAUUAGUUGUUUGAAGUAAUGAAAGGCAUGUAGUCGUAUGUUAUAUGUUGUAUUAGAAGUUGUAUGUUGUUUGUUAUUGUAGUGUUAUCGGAGUUGUCCAUGACCUUAGUUGGUUGAUUUUAUGAACAUUUUGGCUAUGUUGGAAAUGAAAUUAUGUAUUUUCCUAGUCUAGUCAUUUGCAAUAAA